ensembl:lncRNA
CAAAGUCUCAUUAACAUUUCUCCAAGCAGGUGGUUUUGGUCAGUUCCAGAAAGGCAGCAUUAUCUGAAGGCUGGAGCACAGCAAUAUAGACAUAAAAAACCCCACAAAAACUAAGGUACAAAUCUAUUUAUUUCUAACCAUAUGUAUCAAAUAGCUGCCUAUUAUUACAAUAUUCAAUCCACAUAAUAAUAUUUCCAAAAACUUGAACCCUGCCUCAAUUAGCAGGUGCAGAAAUUGUCCAUAAUAAUAAAUAUUGCUUGGAUAAAACAUGUUAGUUAUAUUUAAAACAGCUCUAGUGGAAUUCCAGCUAUUAGAAAUUGAUGGAAAAAAUAUAUAUAGCAGAUGUCAGUGAAUUCCUAAAAUACAUAAGUGGAAGCAACAUUAAAAAAGUAACCGAAACACCUACCUGCCUGUUCCAUAACUCUUAGCUCUGUGCUGGAAGCACUGAUUAAUUUAGUGCUGGAUCACACCCUGCCUCCUUUGUGAUGCUGGCAGUGAGCUGCCUGUGCCACAGCUAUUUCCAUGCAUGCUGUGAUCUCUGCCUGCCUCUACCAAGAAGCUGUUUCCUCUGUCCAAAAUGAAAUAACUUUGCUUCUGAUUUUUAUUUAAACUUGAUGUUCUUGUAAUUGAUGCUUAUAUAACAUACUUAGAAGAAAACGGCAAUGAGCUCAGACUUUCUGUGAACCAUUUAGUCGAUGAGGUUUUUAAUUAAUGCAAUUAACUCCACAGACUUUUUCCUUUAUCUAAACUAGAGAUUUGGUAUCGAGGAAUGCUGUGCUUAGAAAAAAAGCAAAAUGAGUAGAGAAGGAACUGCAGUCAUUUUGCACCUUGCUUAUCUACCUAGCAGUGCAGUGGGCACAUGUCUCAGCAGGAGAUGUAACUUACAGUAUAGCUUUGAUAAAAGGGGGAAAGUGCUCUGCUUUAAAGUGUGUGUGUCACUUACUGAAUGACACGAAGUCAUUCACAGUGGAUCAAGUUCUGGCUGAGGCCCGAGGUGCACAGAAGUGUUCUCCCUUAGUAGAGAGAAACAGUUGAAAGUGACUUUCACGUGAGCCUUGUCUUGAAUUGAAAGCAGAUCUGAUGCAAUCCUUAGGCUCUGGCGCAGUAAUCUGCGACUUGCUCUGUGUUAGAAAACUGGCAUUGCCAGGAAGAUAUUCUAGCAGUGAAGAAAUCACUUGAUGGCAAAAAUGCUUCCUAUAGCUCUUUUUUCUAGAUAAGCUCUUCAGGAAAAUUUUUCCUGAUGGAGCAGGAGGUGCCUAUACCAGAGCUAGGGCUCUAGCGCAAGGCUGGGGUGGCUUAGGUGCUCUUCAGCAGCACCAAAUCUGCUGUGACCCAUUGGUGUUAUCACUGUGCCUGCUCUGGAGCCAACACACUGAUUUUACCCAUGGCACAUAAAUUUGGUGUAAUUCAACUAACUGCAAUGAAGUUCCUGCUGCUUCUGACUGCAACCAAAAGCAAGCUCUGGCUGUGCUUGUCUCCUUCCAGAGCUUAUGAGAAAUAAGUGAAUGUCUCUUCUCACACUGAUAGAAGUAGAAAUAUUUCUUAUGCAGAGAAAAUCAAAUCUGUACCAGCCAAGUCCAUACUGCAUACAGUAUUACUCCUUUGUGAGUGGCCUCCAGAACUUGAGACCCUUUCAAGUUACAACAUGAAGAUGGAGGGGAAAAGAGAAAUAACACUGCAGUGUUUUUUUCUUUGUUGCUGAUGUAGUUAUACUGGUACACUGCUGUGUGGAUUCUUGUUUUGCUUCAGUUUAAACAUGUGCCUGGAUGAUUUAUCAAAAAUGAAAUGGGUUUGGCUUAAAUCCAAACGCAGGUGUGUUUACCUCGUCAAAAGAGAUGGAGCAGUGGCAGCUCAUUUACUGCUUGUCAAUCAGGCAUACGGACAUGGUUUAAAAGGGAAUGUUUUCCUCCAAACAGGCACUGGGGUGAAGCACAAACAUGGUCCUUUCCCACAGGUGAGCUGGGAAGAGAGAGCGUGGUUGUUUGGGCUGACAUGGCCCUUUGCACAGACCUACAGGCCUGGGAAAGCCAUGUCAGACUGCUGCCUUGGCAGGCAGGCCUGCAGUUCUGGCCUAACAACAGCUCCACACACCCUGUACAGCUGCCAGGCCAUGAGCCCCCAGCCAGCCCUGGAGGCACACUGCUUCCCAGCACCUCCAUGUGGACCAAAAGACAAAAUCUGUGGUCAUGGAGUGUCUUUGGCUCCGGUUUACCUAAGCACUUCUUUGUGCAUUGGAAGAGGCUUUCUCAUUGAAUGAGAGCAAAGAAGAAAAAUGCUGAAAAGUAACAGGUGCACCUCAUGGUCAUAAGAAGCUGUAGGUGGUUGUGAGGGGUGGUUCGGGCUUGCAGUAAAGGAGGAAAAAGGAAAACGUUUUGGGAAAAAAUCUCCCUUCCUCCCUGGCUUGUUCCAUCAUGGCAGAAUAAAGAAGUAACUUGAGCAUCUGGUCCCUGCUACACCUGGCAGAUGGUGUGCCAGACAUGUUGCUACUUGGACCCCCUAGCCGUCCCUCCUCUGCAGCUCCUGGCAGAAGGCCAGCACUGAUAGGCAUGGGCAUCUCAGCACUUGGGUCAGGGAGCGGGCUGUGUGUGUCCUGUGCUCCCCACACCCAGCCAAGGCAUUCUGUCAAACGUUGAAAGCUAAGUCACAUUUUUUUCUCCUGAUGCUGAGACAUCCUAAGAAUUCCAUUUUGCGAUAAGCAUCUGUAAUUCCUCUGCUUGUUCCUUGCACGCAGACAUUCCCUCUGGCAGCUUUCUGCCAGCAGCUCACCUGCUUCUCCCCAGCUUAUCAGCUACCAGUGAAUAUCUGAAGCUUUCAGUCACUUUCAGGUUCUUAUUUUGAAAUGUCUUUUGGUUAAGAAAGGUCAUUACUGUACCUCACACAAACAUUGAUCCUGUCCCGAACUAUUUUCUUUUUCACUAAAGUCAUUUUAUUUUCUUCUUAAAUAGGAAAUGGGAAGAAAUAGGAGACAAUGGUAAUUUGUUACUUGUCCAUACACGAAGCUCGUGGGCAGGCUGAAUUGUGACCAGCCUCGUGUGAUAGUCUGUGAUCAUCACACACCUCAGGAAACAACCUGAGAGGUUAUCCCCACUCUUCCCUGCCUCCUGCACAGCCUUCCUUCAACAGUGUCUUUGCACAGAUGCAGUUUAGAGACAGUGAACUGACAAUGAAAUAGGCUGUGACCUCUGGCUGCACCCAGAGGAGGCUAUGGGCACAGGCCGGGCUGUGCUCAUUCAGUCAUUUCAAAUUUUUGUUAUGCUACAUCAUUACCUUGAAUGAUCACGAGAGCCUCAGCUUUGACAAGCCGCUCUUGUUUCCUAGGCUGUUCAGAAAUGCUUUUGAAAUAGCGAUAUUUGCAGUUACUGACGGACAUUUUCCUUUGCAUCUUGAGCAGUUUAGAACAAUAACAAAGCAUGAAACCUACUAACAAAUCUUGGGUUUACUUCUCACUGGUGACAGGUGACAGGACGAGGGGAAAUGGCCUCAAGUUGCACCAGGGGAGGUUUAGGUUGGAUAUUAGGAAGAACUUCUUUACAGACAGGGUGGUUAAGCACUGGAAUAGGCUCCCCAGGGAGGUGGCUGAGUCACCAUCCCUGGAUGUGUUUAAAAACCGUUUGGAUGUGGUGCUCAGCAACAUGGUUUAGGGAAGGGUUGUUAGGGUAGUGUGGUUAGGUUGCAGUUGGACUUGAUGAUCUUGAAGGCCUUUUCCAACCUGACCAAUUCUGUGAUUCUAUGAAUUACCAGGUGAAGUUGUUUGAACUAUUAUCUCUAUUAAUCUCAGAAACUGGCUAGAUCUCACCAUUUAAUUGUAAGCCCAGCAGUGUUCAGGAUGUGAACUGAAGCCCCAUGCCCUAAGAGUGAGUUGUUACAAACAAAUUUCAGCUUCUGGAGAGGACAAAAAGCUAGGGCUUGUUUGAGUCCUGAUUUACAGGGUAAAGCCUGAGAACAGUGAGGGCUCAGAACAUAUGAGGCAGAAGAAAACUCAGUGUUUAUUAUAAAUAUGGACUAAUCAUUAGUGAACAUGUGAGAUUAUCAAUGCUACCGAUUAGGGGAAGACAAAAGAAAAUGAUAAAAUGCUACAGAUUUGAGAAGACAUCCUAAUAAUUAAAAACGGGGAGCAGGAGAAUGCAAGAGACAAUGCUUCUAUUUUUCUCACUUGGGAAAAAUGGUUUGAUCGGGAAGAAGGGGAUUUUGUUAAUUUACUUCUCCAAUUUUUUUUAGCUUCCCAGUGUGUGGGCUACAGAACCUUAACUCCUGGGGACACCCAGAUAGGGGAGUUAAAAGUAACUCUGAGGAAAUGUUACCAACUUGAAGAGAACCUCAGUGACACUCUGCCUCUCUGCCUGCUGACUUUUUCUCAUCAUCAGACACACCUUAUCCCACUGACGACACCUGUCAGAGGCACCUCUUUGCAUCCAAAUCUGCAAAGCUUAUUAUGAAGUAACUACCUGGAUGUUAAUGGAUCCCUUUGGGGUGUAAUACCAGAAUUUGCCAACACAGCACAUUCCUUAAAAAAAAAAAAAAAAAGAAGAAGAAGAAGGCAGUCUCAGGUCCUCGGGUUUCUGUGCAAGAUGGAAAGCAGAGGGGCGAGGUGAGACAGACCCUGGAGGCAGUGGAGUGCCCACCAGCCUGCCCACUGUGGGGACAGUGCUGCCAUGGGGGCUGCUGCGAAGACAGGAGAUGACACAAGAGAGCGUGUCAACAGUGUCACACAGAAUGGGGCUGUGAAGGCCAACUAGAUACUUAGCUGCUAUUAAAAACAAACAAACAAAACCUUUCCCAAGGGAUUUUGAAGAUAAACAAGUGAAGGAAUUUCACACACGUGCUAUGGGCUGAGAACAUCAAACUGCUGCUUAGAUCCAGGAAACCGUUUGCAUGUAGCAUCAGUGCUCUGGGGCUAAAUACAUCCCUGCACAUGGGGCACCAGGAGCUCCAGGUGCUGCCAAGGCCAUGAUGAGAAAUAGAUGAGGCAUUCAUGUGGCUCAGAAGCAAAAUUCAGCCAUGGAGCAGAUCAUUAAAGGGAUAAGGGCUCACGUGUACCAGGACAGAGCAUGAUGAGCACAGACAGAAGUUGAAAGCACAUGGAAAAAACCCUGUGGCUAUGAACAAAGGUGAUACUUUGUGUGCUAGACCUUGUGGAGUGCUCAAGCAUAUAAUUGUUGUUAUUGUGUUUGGCAUUUGCUUGCCAAUUCACUACCAAUUAUUUUUGACUCUGGAAGAAGCUGAACUGUGCUGAAGGGGUGAAGCAGCAGGGCAGCCAGGUGAAGCAGGCAGCUCCUCACCUGGGUAUAAAGUGGGGCCCAUUCACACUGACGUGAUGGAGCUGUUCCCAUGUACAGUGGUCCCACUAAGAGAGGUGUUUGGCUCAGUUCUGCCUUCAGCACACUUUUGAAAUUAGUUCUGCCCAUGGCUGAGGAAUGAGGAUCCCAGUUACUGUGUCUGCUUACUCUACUACUGUCUUUGCCUACCAUUUGUGCAGUGGUAUAACCUGCAGCAACAGCCGAUGGCUUUUUCCUAGCAGUUUGGCAAAUCCUUUUUCAAGCAGUUGCCCAGGUGUUACUGCCUCACAUCUAUUUGUGCCAGCUGAACUUGACACAAUACUUCCCACUACUUCUGUCAAGUAGUCUUGUGCUGCAUGAGCAUCUUGUCCCUCAGAUGUGCUCUUCUCAGAGUGAUCACAGAAUUGCAGGGGUUGGAAGAGAUCUCUGGAGGUCACUGAGUCCAACCCCCCGCUCCAGCAGUUCCCUACAGUAGGUUGCACAGGUAACCAUCCAGGCAGGUUUUGAGUACAUUCAGAGAAGGAGACUGUACAACUUCUCUGGGCAGCCUUGUGCCAGUGCUGUUAUUCUUCAAGAGAAGUUCUUCCUUGUGUUUGUAUAGAGCUUCCUGUGUUUGUGCCCAUUGCCCCUUCUCCUGUUGCUGGGCACCACCACAAAGAAUUGGGCACCACCAAAAAGAAUCUGGCCCCAUCCACUUCACUCCUGCUCUCUACAUAAUUAUAUGCAUUGAUAAGAUUCCCCCUUCAGCCUUCUCUUCUCUGGGCUGAACUGCCCCAGCUCUCUCAGCCUUUCCUCAUACGGGAGAUGCUCCAGGCCCCACAUCAUCUCUGUGGCCCUCCGUUGGACUCUCUCAUCAGUUCCCUGUCUUUCUUGGCCUGGGGAGCCCAGAACUGGACCCAGUACUCCAGACAUGGCCUCACUGGGGCAAAGCAGAGGGGUGGAAUCACUUCCCUUGCCACACUGGCCAAGCUCUUUCUAAUGCUGGGGAGCAUGGUGCUUUUUUCUCCUGUUGGUGGAUAGAGAACUCCUUGAUGGACCAACUGCUCUGCAGAUGUGAAACCCUGUAAACAAACAAGAUCAUGUAGGUCUCCUGUGCAUGUCAGGCAUCAGCAUUUUUCAUGCUCACCUUGCAUGCUUUCGAUGCUGAGUGCUGCCCGCUGUACCUUCAUUCUGGCAAGCUGGAACCACACCAUGGUGUCCGCGAUCGUGUCCCAGCACUGCCUGCUAUUGGAUCUCCUUUAAGAAGGAACUGUCUUUUUGUUUUCAACUGCUUUUGAAGCCUGCUGACCUCCACCCAUCUCGCAAGUGCUUGCAAGCGAGCAGCCAGGCACCAGGGACAUACAUACGUGUGGUGGUGAAUUUUCUGCCACUCUUGUGCUUGUAGUGAUUAGGUUUCAUCUGUGGUACUGCUGCUGGUGGGCUGGGCUGCUAAUGGCUGCGUUUAGUCUUUUGUAGCACGAGUGUUGCUGCAACUGCAAAGCAACCAUUAACUACUGAUCUUUGAUAGAAGUCUAAAAUGCGAGGGCUGCUCUGAAAGUAACGCCUCUUAUUCUAUGACGUUGGCCCACGAUAUCAGAGGUGGACGUUGGUGGGACUGCAGCAGAGGCUGAAUCUUCCCACCAACGUUCCGGACGCGCUGCCGUGUGGCAGACGGCGCCGAGGGGCGGUCUGACAAAACGGCGUCAGACAUGGAAGCGUGCCCGAAGCCCCAGGCCCGGCUCUGCCCUCCCCCACGCCCGCUGCCGGCGCUGCAGCCCCGGGGGCGGCUCCGCGCAGGGUUCUCUCUCUGGCAGCGGUUCCGUGAAGCGCUCCGCUCUGCGAGACCCGCUGAGCGCGGCUGCUCCUGAGCUCUGGGCGCCUUCCUGUACCGCACGCCGCCGAGACCUUCUGUUUUUGUCGCUCGGUUUCCCGUCGCUGACUUCAGCCCCGGCGCUCGCUCCAUUCCAUACGCACCGAGCCCGGCAGAGGGCCGCUCUGCUCCUCUCCGCUCUGCCCCGCCGCCUCCACCGCCCCUCCCCGCGGGCGGUGCCGCCGCGGUGCACUGUGGGGGAC